rnacentral:rRNA from 1 species
ACUCCUACGGGAGGCAGCAGUAAGGAAUAUUGCGCAAUGGACGAAAGUCUGACGCAGCGACGCCGCGUGGGGGAUGAAGGUCUUCGGACUGUAAACCCCUUUCGGGAGGGAAGAUGGAUUGGGUAACCACUUGGACGGUACCUCCAGAAGCAGCCACGGCUAACUUCGUGCCAGCAGCCGCGGUAAUACGAAGGUGGCAAGCGUUGUUCGGAUUCACUGGGCGUACAGGGAGCGUAGGCGGUUGGGUAAGCCCUCCGUGAAAUCUCCGGGCCUAACCCGGAAAGUGCAGAGGGGACUGCUCAGCUAGAGGAUGGGAGAGGAGCGCGGAAUUCCCG